rnacentral:rRNA from 1 species
UACAGAGGCCUCGAGCGUUGUUCGGAAUUACUGGGCGUAAAGGGAAUGUAGGUGGUCAUGUAAGUCAGAUGUGAAAGCCCUGGGCUUAACCCGGGAAGUGCAUUUGAUACUGCGUGGCUAGAGUGCGAGAGAAGAAAGCGGAAUUCCUGGUGUAGGGGUGAAAUCCGUAGAUAUCAGGAGGAAUACCGAUGGCGAAGGCAGCUUUCUGGCUCGUAACUGACACUGAGAUUCGAAAGGCAUGGGUAGCAAACAGG